AAUAUAAUAAUUUAUACAUAUUCAAUGAACUUGUUAAGACAAAUAUAAAUUUUGGACCAAAGUUAAUGGGUACAAUCGAACUCCGAAGGGCUUGAUCCGCCACUGUGCGUCACGAUCUUGUCAUAAGCAAAUCCUUGGUACCCAACUUUAAACAAUUCUAAGGCCAAAAACCAUGAAAUUUCACACUUCUCCUAUAGCAGAAAGGAGCAAGAUACCAGUUUGCUUUUCCAUUAGUUAAAAUAAAGGCAAGGCUCAACCAAAUGGAGACAACUAAUUUCCAACUAUUCUAAUAUCAUUGCAAACUUCACAAAUACAUACAUAUGUCAUAAACCACAUCAAAACAUUAGAUUCAAACUUGGCAGCUGAACAAAUUGUACAGGGAAAUCAUCUUGUCUGAAGUUAGAAAAAUAUAGCAACAACAUUAGAACAGAUGUUUUCCGCUACGCUAAUGCGCCAUUUAAGAGGAAGAGAAUUCUACAUAUUUUAGCCUUUAAAGUUAGUCUUCUGCUCCUGAGCCCAGGACAAAGCUCGGAAAUGCUAAAUUGACAUCCCUGGAAAAGCACGUAAAGAAGCAGUUAAAAUCUGAAGGAGUUCAACCAUUUGAACACACUCGUGACAUUGCAACACAAAGUAUGGUAAAAAUCAGUAUAUCUUGGUCCAGAAAAGUAGUGCAGAAGUCUGAAUGCAAUUUAGCAAGCAACAAACUGAAAAUAUCGAACGUAUACUCUUCCUAUAUAUCUACGUUGUAGAAAGAGAGAUUAUCUCCACGCUAUUGAUACCAGUAAUUUGAAGAAGUCCAAGACUGCACAAAACACACUAAACAAAAGACAAGUUUACAGACUUCGGCAGGAGACGAACGUCAAUCUUCA
rnacentral:lncRNA from 1 species